UGGGGAAUAUUGCACAAUGGAGGGAACUCUGAUGCAGCGACGCCGCGUGAACGAAGAAGGCUUUCGAGUCGUAAAGUUCUUCUAUAUGGGAAGAUAAUGACGGUACCAUAAGAAAAAGCCCCGGCUAACUACGUGCCAGCAGCCGCGGUAAUACGUAGGGGGCUAGCGUUGUCCGGAAUCACUGGGCGUAAAGGGUUCGCAGGCGGAAAUGCAAGUCAGGUGUAAAAGGCAGUAGCUUAACUACUGUAAGCAUUUGAAACUGCAUAUCUGGAGAAGAGUAGAGGUAAGUGGAAUUUUUAGUGUAGCGGUGAAAUGCGUAGAUAUUAAAAAGAAUACCGGUGGCGAAGGCGACUUACUGGGCUCAUUCUGACGCUGAGGAACGAAAGCGUGGGUAGCAAACAGG
rnacentral:rRNA from 1 species